GUGGGGAAUAUUGCACAAUGGGGGGAACCCUGAUGCAGCGACGCCGCGUGAGUGAAGAAGUAUUUCGGUAUGUAAAGCUCUAUCAGCAGGGAAGAAAGAAAUGACGGUACCUGACUAAGAAGCACCGGCUAAAUACGUGCCAGCAGCCGCGGUAAUACGUAUGGUGCAAGCGUUAUCCGGAUUUACUGGGUGUAAAGGGAGCGCAGGCGGCGCGCUAAGUCUGAUGUGAAAGCCCGGGGCUCAACUCCGGGACUGCAUUGGAAACUGGCGGGCUGGAGUGCCGGAGAGGUAAGCGGAAUUCCUAGUGUAGCGGUGAAAUGCGUAGAUAUUAGGAGGAACACCAGUGGCGAAGGCGGCUUACUGGACGGUGACUGACGCUGAGGCUCGAAAGCGUGGGGAGCAAACAGG
rnacentral:rRNA from 1 species